UAAUAGUAUAAAUGUAUCUAUAAUGUAUGUUUUAUCUGUAAAAGAAAAUUUUCAAAAUUGAUCAGUCAAACAACUUAAUUUUUUGGUAUUUUCCAAUUAUAAAAAUGAAGAGUAUUGUGUUUAUGUUCUUAUGCCUUAUUAAAAUAAUUUGUUCAAAUGAUCAUGAUCUAAUGUCAAUAGCCAAUGAAAACUUUGAUUCCUCCGCAUUGAAAUUGGUGAAUUGUAUACGUAAACUAAUUCCUGGGACUGAACCAUUACAUACAUUUGAUGAUGACGACGAACUCCUUAAAAAAACAAAAAGAAAGAUUUGGGAUUUUAAAAAUUCAAUUGCAAAUAAAAAUUGGAAUUUAAACGAACGCGCCAAUCAGUUUUUCCAAUUUUUUAAACGAUAUAUUUCUUUAACUGAAGAUAGUAAAGUCAAUAUUAACAACGUGAAAAUUUGUCUUGAACAAUUUUACGUAGAUAUAUGUGAUGGGUUUCCGGAAGAAACUGGUGAAACAUCACAACAGUCGACUAAUGAAAAACAAUAAUCAGUUUAGUGCUGUAAUUUCUACGGAGAAUUUAUAUAUAUAUAAAAAGAAAGAUCGAUGUUCUGACAAUAUAGCUUGCCAGAAUCUCUUUGUUUGAUCUUAAUUUUCUUGCGUGUUACAUCUUCAAAACUACAAAGAAAUUUUAGUAUAAAUGUAGGUGCUAAACAAUGAUAACUAUGGUGUAAAAACAUAACCCGAAUGACGUCACAUAGACUCAGCCUAAAGCAUAAUAUUGAUGAUUGAUUAUUACUCGAUAUCGAAAUGGUAGGCGCUGUCAACGUUGGUGGACGAACAGGUGUGACAAAUGAUUCAACACAGUGCUGCUGGGCGUGGUAUAUCCAUUAUCAUUAAUGAAAGAAAUCAGAAACAAUGAAAACCUAAAGCAAAGGGGUUCAAACAAAGUUAAGGGAUUUUGCUCAAUAUUACCAUUAAUUCAUCUCUAUCACCUCACCUAUAAAGAUUGUGCAAUUAUGUAUGAAUUCCUUAAAAAUCAAUUAAUCAAUGCUUAAUCUUUAAUUAAAAAAUAUAACGCGAUAAAAUGUUUUAGUAUGAUUUAUAAUUAUUAUGAAAUAAAACUGCAUAUUUGAUUGCAUCAAGUAUACAGUUUAUUCAAAAUCAGAGCUAAGACUUGUGGUAACACACACAAAAAAUGAACGCCUUCUUUGCCUCGCAUGACUAAUAACAAUAAGAAUCAUAUGAGUAAAACUACUAAAAUUUCAUUUAAAAAUUUCUCGUCAAAAGUAAAAUGUGCACUUAUC